rnacentral:rRNA from 1 species
UGGGGAAUAUUGCACAAUGGGCGCAAGCCUGAUGCAGCCAUGCCGCGUGUAUGAAGAAGGCCUUCGGGUUGUAAAGUACUUUCAGCGGGGAGGAAGGUGUUGAGGCUAAUAACCUCAGCAAUUGACGUUACCCGCAGAAGAAGCACCGGCUAACUCCGUGCCAGCAGCCGCGGUAAUCCGGAGGGUGCAAGCGUUAAUCGGAAUUACUGGGCGUAAAGCGCACGCAGGCGGUCUGUCAAGUCGGAUGUGAAAUCCCCGGGCUCAACCUGGGAACUGCAUUCGAAACUGGCAGGCUAGAGUCUUGUAGAGGGGGGUAGAAUUCCAGGUGUAGCGGUGAAAUGCGUAGAGAUCUGGAGGAAUACCGGUGGCGAAGGCGGCCCCCUGGACAAAGACUGACGCUCAGGUGCGAAAGCGUGGGGAGCAAACA